UAACGCGUGGAUAACCUGCCUCACACUGGGGGAUAACAGUUAGAAAUGACUGCUAAUACCGCAUAAGCGCACAGCACCGCAUGGUACAGUGUGAAAAACUCCGGUGGUGUGAGAUGGAUCCGCGUCUGAUUAGCCAGUUGCGGGUAACGGCCCACCAAAGCGACGAUCAGUAGCCGACCUGAGAGGGUGACCGGCCACAUUGGGACUGAGACACGGCCCAA
rnacentral:rRNA from 1 species